rnacentral:lncRNA from 1 species
CUGAGGAGGAGUGAAGAGCAAUACCAAAGGAGGUUUUGGUGCAAUACGGGAUGAGUAAAAAAAAUAAGAAUGAAAAAGGAGAAAUGGAGGAGGAGAGUAGUCUGCAGCGAUUAGCAGUGGUGGAAAAAAGAAAGAGGAGCGAAAGGGUGGUGCUAAGGUUGUUAAAAGGUGUAACGAUGGUGGUAUUAUGGUCGGUUGUGGUGGAGGAAAAGCAAAGACUAAAAGAAAAGAGUGGUGGUUAUUUUGCGAAAGGAGAGAGAAUGGAUGAGAAAAUAAAUGAAAAGAGUGAAAGAAUGAAAGCAAUAGAGAGGUAGGGAUGACAAAGGGUUGUAAAAGCUUGGUCAACUGUGACUAGGUUCAAUGAACCACAACAAAAGUCAAGAUAUGAAGUUUUG